rnacentral:tRNA from 2 species
AGCUCAGUGGUAUAAUGGUAUUACGGCGGUCUCCAAAACCGUAGAUUGAGGUUCGAUUCCUUACUGGGUUGCCA